rnacentral:rRNA from 1 species
UACCAGCACCCCGAGUGGUCGGGACGAUUAUUGGGCCUAAAGCAUCCGUAGCCGGUUCUACAAGUCUUCCGUUAAAUCCACCUGCUCAACAGAUGGGCUGCGGAGGAUACUAUAGAGCUAGGAGGCGGGAGAGGCAAGCGGUACUUAGUGGGUAGGGGUAAAAUCCGUUGAUCCAUUGAAGACCACCAGUGGCGAAGGCGGCUUGCCAGAACGCACUCGACGGUGAGGGGUGAAAGCUGGGGGAGCAAACCGG